rnacentral:tRNA from 1 species
GAUAUAGUGCCCGAGCUUAAGGAUAGUCCUGAUGCGACUAAACACGUAGUAUUACUACCUAUAUCU